rnacentral:misc_RNA from 1 species
AGCAGCCGCGGUAAUUCCAGCUCCAAUAGCGUAUAUUAAAGUUGUUGCAGUUAAAAAGCUCGUAGUUGAAUUUCGGGAUCAAUAUGUUGGUCGUGCCUCGGUACGUACUAGCUUAUUGGUUUCUCCUUUCUGAAGAACCAUGAUGUCAUUUAUUUGGUGUCGUGGGGAAUCAGGACUGUUACUUUGAAAAAAUUAGAGUGUUUAAAGCAGGCUCACGCUUGAAUACAUUAGCAUGGAAUAAUGAAAUAGGACGUUUGAUUCUAUUUUGUUGGUUUCUAGGAUCGACGUAAUGAUUAAUAGGGAUAGUUGGGGGCAUUAGUAUUCAAUUGUCAGAGGUGAAAUUCUUGGAUUUAUUGAAGACUAACUACUGCGAAAGCAUUUGCCAAGGAUGUUUUCAUUAAUCAAGAACGAAAGUUAGGGGAUCGAAGACGAUCAGAUACCGUCGUAGUCUUAACCAUAAACUAUGCCGACUAGGGAUCGGAUGAUGUUAAUUUUUUUAAUGACUCAUUCGGCGCCUUAC